AGAGCGAACGCUGGCGGCAGGCCUAAUACAUGCAAGUCGAGCGGCCACUUCGGUGGCAGCGGCGGACGGGUGAGUAACGCGUGGGAAUGUGCCCUUUGGUACGGAACAACUGAGGGAAACUUCAGCUAAUACCGUAUGUGCCCUUCGGGGGAAAGAUUUAUUGCCAUUGGAGCAGCCCGCGUUGGAUUAGCUAGUUGGUGGGGUAAAGGCCCACCAAGGCGACGAUCCAUAGCUGGUCUGAGAGGAUGAUCAGCCACACUGGGACUGAGACACGGCCCAGACUCCUACGGGAGGCAGCA
rnacentral:rRNA from 1 species